rnacentral:misc_RNA from 1 species
AACGCACAUUGCGCCCGCUGGAAUUCCAGCGGGCAUGCCUGUUCGAGCGUCAUUUCACCCCUCAAGCCUUGCUUGGUGUUGGGGCACUACCAGUCAAACGGUAGGCCCUGAAAUUCAGUGGCGGGCUCGCUAAGACUCUGAGCGUAGUAGUUUACCACCUCGCUUUGGAAGGAUUAGCGGUGCUCUUGCCGUAAAACCCCCCAACUUCUGAAUUUUGACCUCGGAUCAGGUAGGAAUACCCGCUGAACUUAA